UGUCGACAGUUUUAACAUGGCUGUUCGAGUAAAUGCUACAGACGACAUUCAAUGGGCUAAAGACACUCCAUAUCACUAUAUGGAUCUCAGAUUUUCUAUGAUACUAAAUGACUCUACACAAGAUCCAAAACUCCGUUUACCAUUUGAUGCCCAACGCUACAUUAUUGCAAAACUAUUUCAUCGUUGGCCUGAUAUGUGCUUUGACGUCUCGGUGUGCAAGUUGAUUUUGUUGCCGUUUUGUACAACCGGUCGCUUCAUCCUCUUCCUGUUCGACCUAUUGGAUAGAACAAUCACUAUACUCGACCCUCUUCCCCUAUCGGAUGCAUGGAAAAAGAAUCCUUCACAGAAGG